rnacentral:rRNA from 1 species
CCUACGGGUGGCAGCAGUCGAGAAUCAUUCACAAUGGGGGAAACCCUGAUGGUGCGACGCCGCGUGGGGGAAUGAAGGUCUUCGGAUCGUAAACCUCUGUCAGCAGGGAAGAACGGUCACUGUGCUAAUCAGCAGUGAAUUGACGGUACCUGCAAAGGAAGCACCGGCUAACUCCGUGCCAGCAGCCGCGGUAAUACGGAGGGUGCGAGCGUUAAUCGGAAUUACUGGGCGUAAAGCGCUCGUAGGCGGUAUGUCAAGUCAAGGGUGAAAUCCCCGCGCUCAACGUGGGAACUGCCUUUGAAACUGGCAAACUGGAGUGUGUGAGAGGAUAGUGGAAUUCCAGGUGUAGGAGUGAAAUCCGUAGAUAUCUGGAGGAACAUCAGUGGCGAAGGCGACUAUCUGGCACAUAACUGACGCUGAGGAGCGAAAGCGUGGGUAGCAAACAGGAUUAGAUACCCGAGUAGUC